rnacentral:rRNA from 1 species
AUUGAACGCUGGCGGCAUGCUUUACACAUGCAAGUCGAACGGCAGCGCGGGGCAACCUGGCGGCGAGUGGCGAACGGGUGAGUAAUACAUCGGAACGUACCCAGAAGUGGGGGAUAACGUAGCGAAAGUUACGCUAAUACCGCAUACGUUCUACGGAAGAAAGUGGGGGACCUUCGGGCCUCAUGCUUUUGGAGCGGCCGAUGUCUGAUUAGCUAGUUGGUGAGGUAAAGGCUCACCAAGGCGACGAUCAGUAGCUGGUCUGAGAGGACGACCAGCCACACUGGGACUGAGACACGGCCCAGACUCCUACGGGAGGCAGCAGUGGGGAAUUUUGCACAAUGGGCGCAAGCCUGAUCCAGCAAUGCCGCGUGAGUGAAGAAGGCCUUCGGGUUGUAAAGCUCUUUUGUCAGGGAAGAAACGGCUGAGGAUAAUACCUUCGGCUAAUGACGGUACCUGAAGAAUAAGCACCGGCUAACUACGUG